rnacentral:rRNA from 1 species
CAAGUCGUACGGGCCGCAAGGCCAGUGGCGCAAGGGUGAGUAAGGCGACGGCAACCAACCCCAUGGUUGGGUAUAGCCGCGGGAAACCGCGGGUAAUCCCCAGCGACGCACGAGGCCGGCAUCGGUCUCCUGCCAAAGCUCAGGCGCCGUGGGACGGGCCGUCGUGGUAUUAGGUAGUUGGCGGGGUAACGGCCCACCAAGCCGACGAUGCCUACCGGGCGUGCGAGCGUGGCCCGGCACACUGGGACUGAGACACUGCCCAGACUCCUACGGGAGGCUGCAGUCGAGAAUCUUCGGCAAUGGGCGCAAGCCUGACCGAGCGACGCCGCGUGGAGGACGAAGGCCUUCGGGUUGUAAACUCCUGUCGAGGGGGAAGAAGGGUCGAAAGACCUUGACUGAUCCCUGGAGGAAGCACGGGCUAAGUUCGUGCCAGCAGCCGCGGUAAGACGAACCGUGCGAACGUUAUUCGGAAUCACUGGGCUUAAAGCGCGUGUAGGCGGGAGGGCACGUCCGUCGCUGAAAUCCCCCGGCUCAACCGGGGAACGGGCGCGGAUACGACCUUCCUUGAGGGGCGUAGGGGGACCUGGAACUUCCGGUGGAGCGGUGAAAUGCGUUGAGAUCGGAAGGAACGCCCGUGGCGAAAGCGAGGUCCUGGACGCCUACUGACGCUGAGACGCGAAAGCCAGGGGAGCGAACGGGAUUAGAUACCCCGGUAGUCCUGGCCGUAAACGAUGGGCACUGGGGUAGGGGGCUCGCCGAUGGGCUCCCUGCCGAAGGGAAACCGUGAAGUGCCCCGCCCGGGGA